CCUACGGGAGGCAGCAGUGGGGAAUAUUGCACAAUGGGGGAAACCCUGAUGCAGCGACGCCGCGUGAGUGAAGAAGUAAUUCGUUAUGUAAAGCUCUAUCAGCAGGGAAGAAAAUGACGGUACCUGAGUACGAAGCACAGGCUAACUACGUGACAGCAGCCGCGGUAAUACGUAGGGGGCAAGCGUUAUCCGGAUUUACUGGGUGUAAAGGGAGCGUAGACGGCAGUGCAAGUUUGGAGUGAAAGGCGGGGGCUCAACCCCCGGACUGCUCUGGAAACUGUAGGGCUGGAGUGUAGGAGAGGUAGGUGGAAUUCCUGGUGUAGCGGUGAAAUGCGUAGAUAUUAGGAAGAACACCAGUGGCGAAGGCGGCUUACUGGACUAUAACUGACGUUGAGGCUCGAAAGCGUGGGGAGCAAACAGGAUUAGAUACCCGAGUAGUC
rnacentral:rRNA from 1 species